CUUCUGCUAUGACGAAUUCAUGAAAUAUUCACAUGUCAGAUUUCAGAGAGAAAUAUAUGAGAAGAAAGUCAUGUAUCCCGAGCAGAAG